rnacentral:rRNA from 1 species
ACGGACGAGAAGCUUGCUUCUCUGAUGUUAGCGGCGGACGGGUGAGUAACACGUGGAUAACCUACCUAUAAGACUGGGAUAACUUCGGGAAACCGGAGCUAAUACCGGAUAAUAUUUUGAACCGCAUGGUUCAAAAGUAAAAGACGGUCUUGCUGUCACUUAUAGAUGGAUCCGCGCUGCAUUAGCUAGUUGGUAAGGUAACGGCUUACCAAGGCAACGAUGCAUAGCCGACCUGAGAGGGUGAUCGGCCACACUGGAACUGAGACACGGUCCAGACUCCUACGGGAGGCAGCAGUAGGGAAUCUUCCGCAAUGGGCGAAAGCCUGACGGAGCAACGCCGCGUGAGUGAUGAAGGUCUUCGGAUCGUAGAACUCUGUUAUUAGGGAAGAACAUAUGUGUAAGUAACUGUGCACAUCUUGACGGUACCUAAUCAGAAAGCCACGGCUAACUACGUGCCAGCAGCCGCGGUAAUACGUAGGUGGCAAGCGUUAUCCGGAAUUAUUGGGCGUAAAGCGCGCGUAGGCGGUUUUUUAAGUCUGAUGUGAAAGCCCACGGCUCAACCGUGGAGGGUCAUUGGAAACUGGAAAACUUGAGUGCAGAAGAGGAAAGUGGAAUUCCAUGUGUAGCGGUGAAAUGCGCAGAGAUAUGGAUGAACACCAGUGGCGAAGGCGACUUUCUGGUCUGUAACUGACGCUGAUGUGCGAAAGCGUGGGGAUCAAACAGGAUUAGAU